CCCGCGCUCAGCACUCGCUCACUCAGCCCCAGUGGACAUGUACACCUUGAACUUCAAAACGUACAGUAAACUCUGGUUAAUCAUUACCAAACUGAGUAAUAGUUAAUGCAUAAUCUCUUUUACCGGAUUGGAUUUUGCUUUGGAAUCCCCACAUGACAAACAACAAUUGUGAAUAAGGACCGAAAAAUAUUGGAGGUCCCCAACUAUAAUGAAUAUUCAUGUUUGCUCCACGAACUGCAACAGUUUUUUUACAGGAACUGAAUAUAACUCAACACUGGGUUGUGUUAAUUCAGACAGGUCAUGAUGAGCAUCUGAUUGUUUUCACAAACCAGUCUGUUUAG